UACAUGGGGUGCAAACGUUGUUCGGAAUUACUGGGCGUAAAGCGCGUGUAGGCGGCUAAGUAAGUCGGGCGUGAAAUCCCACGGCUCAACCGUGGAAGUGCACUCGAAACUGCAUAGCUAGAGUCCUGGAGAGGAAGGUGGAAUGCUUGGUGUAGAGGUGAAAUUCGUAGAUAUCAAGCGGAACACCGGUGGCGAAGGCGGCCUUCUGGACAGUGACUGACGCUGAGACGCGAAAGCGUGGGGAGCAAACAGG
rnacentral:rRNA from 1 species